UUUAAAUAUUUUGGUCCAACGGAAUUUUGUUUUUAGUUACAGCCUUACACGCCACUUAUUAUAACAGAGCAGUGGUGUUGGACGUAACUUGAAAAUAUUAAUAAAUAUAUUUGGUAAUAAACAGGUAAUUUUACAUGGGUCAUAUUUUUGCUUUAUUAGCGUUGGACCAAAUAAUAUCAUCUAGUGUCACUGAGUACGUACUUUAGAUGAUUCAAUUAAUGAACCACUUGAAUUGGGUGGGUGUUGGCCCAGGGUGGUAAGUAUAUAAUUUAAUAGAAAUAAUUGUAUUAUACUAAAUUUGUUGAAUUGAUACCUGUUUGUUAAUGGGCCACAUAAUGUUUCCAAAUGAAAAUGUACCAGUUAAAAAGGGAAAUUUUAAAUUUCAAAAUUUAAUUUACAAUUAUUCAAUUGUAUUUAUGAGUAUCUA